GACGAACGCUGGCGGCGUGCCUAAUACAUGCAAGUUGAGCGCUGAAGGUUGGUACUUGUACCAACUGGAUGAGCAGCGAACGGGUGAGUAACGCGUGGGGAAUCUGCCUUUGAGCGGGGGACAACAUUUGGAAACGAAUGCUAAUACCGCAUAAAAACUUUAAACACAAGUUUUAAGUUUGAAAGAUGCAAUUGCAUCACUCAAAGAUGAUCCCGCGUUGUAUUAGCUAGUUGGUGAGGUAAGGGCUCACCAAGGCGAUGAUACAUAGCCGACCUGGGAGGGUGAUCGGCCACAUUGGGACUGAGACACGGCCCAAACUCCUACGGGAGGCAGCAGUAGGGAAUCUUCGGCAAUGGACGAAAGUCUGACCGAGCAACGCCGCGUGAGUGAAGAAGGUUUUCGGAUCGUAAAACUCUGUUGGUAGAGAAGAACGUUGGUGAGAGUGGAAAGCUCAUAAAGUGACGGUAACUACCCAGAAAGGGACGGCUAACUACGU
rnacentral:rRNA from 1 species